AGGACGAACGCUGGCGGCGUGCUUAACACAUGCAAGUCGAGCGGUAAGGCCUUUCGGGGUACACGAGCGGCGAACGGGUGAGUAACACGUGGGUGAUCUGCCCUGCACUUCGGGAUAAGCCUGGGGAACUGGGUCUAAUACCGUAUAUGACCUCAGGUUGCAUGACUUGGGGUGGAAAGAUUUAUCGGUGCAGGAGUCGGGCCCGCGGCCUAUCAGUCUUUGGUUGGGUAGGGGUAAUCGGGACCCUAACCGAAGGCGAACGGACGGGUACGCCGACCUGAGGAGGGUCGACCGGCCACACGUGGGACUGAGACACCGGCCCAGACUCCGUACGGGAGCAGCAGGUAGGGAAUAGUUGACAACGAAGUGGGACGAAAGCCUAGGA
rnacentral:rRNA from 1 species